AUUGAUCCUAAAUUUGCAUUGCUCUGUAAACAAGCCAUUGUUAGCUGUGGCUGCUAUGUUCAUCUUAACCCUACGUAGCUGAUCAAUACUUACCAGUAGUGGUGCAUGUAAAAAUAACAACAGUUGGUUGACAAAUGCGUCACGUGCGAUGAGCAAAAAGCAAAGAAAAUAUCGAGGCAUAAUAAGAACAUUACAACACGAUUAUGCCCAGCAAUUACUUUAAUUCACUCAAAACAACAUUCGAAUAAACUCCUACUUGAUGUGCAGCCUGUCCAGUCCAAAACACUGUAAUGAAACAGAACCUUCAAAGUUGUUCUGAAGUCAUAAAUUCAGAAAGUUAAUCGCACAGUUGGACUUCAUCAACUUUGCAUAAUAAGAUAUUAGGCCAAUGUGACACAGAUGUUGCCUUUAGUCACACUCGAUUCUGUAAAUGUCAGCGACUCAUCACAAACGACAGUCCAGAUGCUCUUCCAUGGCGCCAUUAUCAUCAGCGUCUACACCAUCAAUGCACAAAUAAUCAUUAAAGCAGCAAGCAGCAAUGGAGCCCUUUCACCCUUGUUUACAGAGCAAAGCCAUCAAAAUUAUCAAACUUUGACCCCCCCCCAAAAAAAAUUAAAACACCCUCUUUUCUGAUAGACAAGUACCACCAAUUUGGUGUUGAUUGGUGAAACGGGUAUUUAACUUUCAGAGUCUGUGAUUGAGUUUUCCAUUGCUGUCCUUGGGACCCUAAAAUUCUGUUCAUAUGCCUCUCAAGCGGACCCCAAAGGCCGAGUUCAUCAGUCUCACCGCCAUUUUAUGGCUCACCCUCAAAAUGACAAUCAAACGUUGACGCCAUGCUCUGUCCACAUUUGACAGUGAAAUCGAUCAUAUUAGUUAUGAUUAAUUGUGAUGAACUGGAUGUACAAUAAAUACUUUGGAAAUGAAAUGUCUGAAUUAUGAUAUAAUAUUUAAAAUACACUGCUGUGGCUUUUGCAAUGACCUAGUCCAACUAAGUUACUUCAGUUACGUUCAGUUGAGCUCAACUGAACGUCAUUGUGUUCAGCUGUUUUCGUAUCAGAUGGAAAAUAAUACGUCAACUGACUGGGACAUGAUUUAACAUUGUUGAUUUGUAAUGUACUUUUGUGUGUGUGUGUGUUAUAUAGACUGCACGGAGAUGCAAGAAGAAGAAGAAGAAGAAGAAGAAGAGGUCCUGCUGCAGUCAGGGAAAACAUCUGCUCUUCAUCAGGACCGAUGAGCCAGUGAGGCCGCAAGCGAGCUGGCACAGAUGGCGCUGAGGUCUCCGCACAAUAGGCCUUGCCAACCAUCGGCAGCGACGGCAGCCACCCGUACGCCCACAAGCGCAAGCAAGAGGGAGAAUUCUUCCGCCGAUUGGUCGAUUGCUGCGAGCGCUCUGAAGUCACUCCGCCAGCAACUGUUGUAUUGGACGCGCCAGCCGCAGCUCAAGGGCAACCCCUGCAGGCGUGAUGCUAAAGGAGCUGACAAGUCGUCAAAUGAUUCUCCAAAUUCCUCCUCGCUUCUGAUCGCCACCAGCCGAGGGAACACAUGGAAGAAGGGGGUAGGACGAUUGAAGUACCAGGCUUCGACUGACACUUUGUUUCCAUGCUGAAAAGAGCUGGAAAACAUUGCUGUCUGGAGCUCACAAAGCGUUCCCUCGUCGCCACGCCUCUGCCGCUGCGCCUCGGCUCACCCGGGCUGUCACCUGUCAAUCAAACCUCAGCAGCGCCCGUGACCCUCCUUGUCCUUGGACUUGACGAGCAGGAUGGAAGUUUUCCAGCACAGUUGAUUUGUUUUCACCUGAAGCAGCAGCACAAAUGCUUCCCCCUCACUCAUCUCUCUCUCUCUGUUGAUGUUAUGGAAAAAAAGCAGGACAAAAAUAACACAAGGGCGCGCGUGUGCCCACAUCUAGCAUCGCUAAUUCCCCAGUAUUGGCGGUACUUCUGGGCCUUCGAGCAAGAGCCUCUUCUGGGCUCAUUGGUGGACGUUCAAGGAGGCUCUUCAGCCUUUGAAUGCUCCACACAGGUGCAAAGACAAAGACCGAGAGCUAUGUACAGACGCGCUUUAGUGGAGACGAGGGCUGUGUGAAUUUGCGGAAAGCCUUGCUUCAUUUCUCAGCAUCCUUUUGUCAACGUAACAUUUUUUGUUAACAGUAGGAAAUCACACUUCGGAUGUAACUCUUGUGAUGACAAUUACAAAAACCUCAUUUGGAAGCCUCGCCCCGGCUGAACGCUCCGAUUCGUAACCCCAACCGUGGUUUUAAA